AUGUGGGAGCGAAUCCCGGUGGGCCGUCCGGAGAAGAUGUGCUCGCGUGCAUGGACGAACUAUGGAGGAGAUGACGAAGAUGAUCGGAACCCGACCGUCGCAUACGCUUGGGACGUGGUGCGUGUCUACAUGGGCGAAUCAAAGGCCUUGUACAAGGUCUUCAGCAACGAGCUUGAUGCUCUCACGCCUUUACAGGUUACUUGGCGGUCGUAUAGUGAUGAUCGACAGUGGGGGUUCGAGCUGAACAGCAUGUGCAAGCAGGACCGGCUGCUCUUCCGGUGCAUCGUGCCCAUGAUUUGUGUCUAUGCCGUGAGUACCACUUGCCACAGCGCGUUGCCGCACAAUUUGGUAAGACGCAACACACACCGCCAGCCGGCAUCGUCCGCGAUACCGGUGGCUACGACCUACACCUGA
rnacentral:rRNA from 1 species